CACGAAACGAUGAGCGUGAAGCAGCCGUGAGAAAUUGACUUGUCGUUGCAUUUCUAAUUCCCAGUUUUUCGAAACCAGAAAGACAUGCAGCUCAAAGUGAUGAUUGUGGGCCUGGCCAUCUUUGGACUUAUUGUGGCAGAGAGUGGUGCCAUGCCUGCCGGCAGCGUCAGUGAAGCCGAGGCCAGGGCUGAUCCCGAGACUGCUGAGCGUGCCGAGCAGACCAACGCUGAAGAGGCACGCAUCAGUGAGGCAUGCCUUAAGUCCCUCUGCGGGUAGUUCCCUCACGGAAGAAGGUGGAAAAUUUGAAAGAACGUGUCUUCUCAUAAAAGCAUGACCACACCAAAUGACUUUGAAAGAUUUUGCAGUGCGCAACACCAGAUCUCAGUGUCGAAUAUGAGGCCGCUGCGGCUGACUGUUGCAUGGGUUUGCGCAAAUAAUAAAGCUACUUUCUAACAAGAAA